rnacentral:lncRNA from 1 species
CUUCUGUUCUGCUGCAAGCCACUAAUGCUUCUCCAUUUACUUCCUGUCUUCUGAAAAUUCAUUAAAACUUCUUGUAUGUUGAUGAGGGAACCGAGAUCUGAAGAAGAGAAAUGACCUAUCCAAGUUCCCCCAGCUGGGGCCAGUUCUUCUGUUUCACCUAGAAUUGGAUGUUCCAACUCCUGCAGCCGAGGUCCUCUCUUGGGUCCUGAUUUUCCUUGCAAACUGACCAAAGGAAGCUUCCAGAAGCAACUGUCCACUACAAGAGGAAGGUGUGGCCAUGAGGGAAGACGGAGGCUCCAGAGGUCCUGGCUCUGCAGAGACCGCGGUGCUGCCUCCCAGCCUGCCUGAAACCUGACUUGGUUUGCACCAGCGGGUGCCCAGGCCUCCACAGAGUCUUCGGUUCUCCAGGUUUCCCAUGCCGCCAUUCUUGAUCAGUUUUCAUCUCACCUCUGUGGUUUCUACCUCCUGUAGAUGCUUCAACUCCGCCACUGAAGCCAAUGCUGCCUGCUUCCUCCGGUGACAGCAGCAAAGCAGGCAGCAGUGGCCUUGGAGGCUCUGGCUGGACCCACUGUCAUGCAUUGUCUUCCACGGUUACUCAGGCACCUUUCCUUUACCUGGAAAAUAUCUCUGAGCUCAAACAUUCAACUCACAUCUUGGAGCCAUAACAAAUAAAGGAAGACGGCUUUGGUAACUCAGUAAAGCUUGGGGCUGCAGUCUUGAUGAGGAGGGCAAGUUCCGAGUCCAGAUGGCUUGAAUUCCAAUGCAUCUCUG